rnacentral:rRNA from 1 species
AUUGAACGCUGGCGGAAUGCUUUACACAUGCAAGUCGAACGGCAGCACGGGGGCAACCCUGGUGGCGAGUGGCGAACGGGUGAGUAAUACAUCGGAACGUGCCCGGUCGUGGGGGAUAACGUAGCGAAAGUUACGCUAAUACCGCAUACGAUCUGAGGAUGAAAGCGGGGGACCUUCGGGCCUCGCGCGAUCGGAGCGGCCGAUGUCAGAUUAGGUAGUUGGUGGGGUAAAGGCCUACCAAGCCGACGAUCUGUAGCUGGUCUGAGAGGACGACCAGCCACACUGGGACUGAGACACGGCCCAGACUCCUACGGGAGGCAGCAGUGGGGAAUUUUGGACAAUGGGCGCAAGCCUGAUCCAGCCAUUCCGCGUGCAGGACGAAGGCUUUCGGGUUGUAAACUGCUUUUGUAUGGAACGAAAAGGCUCUGGCUAAUACCUGGGGCUCAUGACGGUACCGUAAGAAUAAGCACCGGCUAACUACGUG